rnacentral:rRNA from 1 species
AGUGAACGCUGGCGGUAGGCCUAACACAUGCAAGUCGAACGGCAGCACAGUAAGAGCUUGCUCUUACGGGUGGCGAGUGGCGGACGGGUGAGGAAUACAUCGGAAUCUACUUUUUCGUGGGGGAUAACGUAGGGAAACUUACGCUAAUACCGCAUACGACCUACGGGUGAAAGCAUGGGAUCUUCGGACCUUGCGCGAUUGAAUGAGCCGAUGUCGGAUUAGCUAGUUGGCGGGGUAAAGGCCCACCAAGGCGACGAUCCGUAGCUGGUCUGAGAGGACGAUCAGCCACACUGGAACUGAGACACGGUCCAGACUCCUACGGGAGGCAGCAGUGGGGAAUAUUGGACAAUGGGCGCAAGCCUGAUCCAGCCAUACCGCGUGGGUGAAGAAGGCCUUCGGGUUGUAAAGCCCUUUUGUUGGGAAAGAAAAGCAGCAGGUUAAUACCCCGCUGUUCUGACGGUACCCAAAGAAUAAGCACCGGCUAACUUCGUG